rnacentral:rRNA from 1 species
UGAUCUAGCUUGCUAGAUUGAUGGCGAGUGGCGGACGGGUGAGUAACGCGUAGGAAUAUGCCUUAAAGAGGGGGAUAACUUGGGGAAACUCAAGCUAAUACCGCAUAAUCUCUGAGGAGAGAAGCUGGGGACCUUCGGGCCUGGCGCUUUAAGAUUAGCCUGCGUCCGAUUAGCUAGUUGGUGGGGUAAGGGCCUACCAAGGCGACGAUCGGUAGCUGGUCUGAGAGGAUGGCCAGCCACACUGGGACUGAGACACGGCCCAGACUCC